GCACUCUGUCAUGCACCUGGGCUCUCAAGUCACAGCGUGCGACCUCUGAUGAUUGGACUAUGCCCUGUUUUUCGUUUUCUAAGCAGUUUCUAAUUCUGGUGAUUGUGUGAUGUAAAGAGGUGCUAUGAUGGUCAUGCAAUUAAUACUUAAUAUUGAAUCAAUACACAGAACUUUAACGGAUUCACUUUGUGUGUGUUAGCGCUCUAAAAGUAGCAAUACUAUUAAAUUGCCCCCAGACUGACCCCGUAGGCUUAAAAUACUCCCGUUCUAAGACGAGUACUACUUCCCAUGCAGGGUACUGUUCCUUAUGGUAAAUGUAAACACAUAGACUGCAUUCAAGGGGGACCUGAAGUAGAGAGGUCAUGAAAUUGGAGGAUGGGCUUCCUUUUGGGUUCAGUGUUAGCGAGAGGGAGAUGGAUGGUGGGGGAGGGUAGGUAUUCCAGUCUCUUAUGUCCUGUAGUACAUUUUUCAUGAAUGCCCUACUUUGUGUGCAGUUUCCACUGGAAUGGUGGAAGAUAAAGGUCUUUUAUCUGCUAAUAAUGUGGUCAGAACUUAAGUAGCUGUCUCCAGUCCCUCUCCCCUAACAAGUGCAGUUUGGAAUCUCAUUCUGGAAGAGAUGGAAUCGCAUGGAGGCUCUCUAGAUGUUAGGUAGACCUAAAUAAAGGUUCCGAGUAGAUCCUCUGUCCCUAUAAGACCUCUUGUAGCCACAAUGUUUUAGAGCAUGUUUGAUUGUUUCCUCUUCAUUUUUAAUAUCUUGAACUGAAUGAUAGUCUUUUUUAGAUGAAGAACUGAUGUCAGCCUGCCAGACUCUGGAAUUGGCGUUUGGUGGUGUGAAGCGUUGCCCACAAGUGGCCGGAACUCCUCUUCCUAAAGGAUUUUGAGAUUGAGAAACAGCUGUAAAACCUCCCCCUUAUGCCUUGGUUCUAGUUCCUCCCUCCGAGUUGAAAAACUAUUUUUUAAAAAAUUUUUUGUUGUUUUUGUUUUAGUUGGUGCUCUGACGCUUAAUCUCAGUACCCUUUACUCUUGAUUGUCAAAUUUUGAUAAAACAUGUGCCAUUUUCUUUGGUAAGAGAAAGCAGGUCUUAUGUCUGCCAGAACACGAUUUAUAUGCCUUAUUGGCUCCAUUAAACUUUUUAAAAACUUUA